CUUCUUCUGCUGAGCCAAAAAUUUAUCUGUAACACAAGAUGCGCUCUCUCCGGGAGCAGUAUCUCUCAAUGCUGCAAAGAGCCCAGCUAUAGUGGUUAUUGACUAUCCAUGUUUGUCCAAAAAAAUCUUGUUUCCGAUUUCGGAUGAGGUAAAAUCAACUGUUACUGAUCCUGGCCAAAGUCACAUGUCCACAGUUGCCAUACCCAAUGGUUUGCCCACUACUGUUGCCCUGACACUAAAUGAGGGCUCAUCUCCAAUGAGCACGGAUUUUCAUCCCAUUUGGCAGACAAUUC